UGAGGAAUAUUGGUCAAUGGCCGCAAGGCUGAACCAGCCAAGUAGCGUGCAGGAUGACGGCCCUUGGGUUGUAAACCGCUUUUAGUCGGGAAUAAAAGGGCGCACGUGUGCGUCGUAUUGCAAGUACCGUCAGAAAAAGGACCGGCUAAUUCCGUGCCAGCAGCCGCGGUAAUACGGAAGGUUCGGGCGUUAUCCGGAUUUAUUGGGUUUAAAGGGAGCGUAGGCCGGAGAUUAAGCGUGUUGUGAAAUGUAGACGCUCAACGUCUGCACUGCAGCGCGAACUGGUUUCCUUGAGUACGCACAAAGUGGGCGGAAUUCGUGGUGUAGCGGUGAAAUGCUUAGAUAUCACGAAGAACUCCGAUUGCGAAGGCAGCUCACUGGAGCGCAACUGACGCUGAAGCUCGAAAGUGCGGU
rnacentral:rRNA from 1 species